UCCCUCAUGUGAUCUACUACACAAAUUUAUGGAAAUGGAUCAGGAUAGUGACCUUUUCUCAUCAGUUCUGAGCUCAGGACUGUGUGUCUCACUGCUUAAUCUGUACUUUAAUCCUUUUUCAUCCUGAAAUUCCAUCUUUAUAUUCAGAAUAUCUGAUCAAGUCCUUUUAAAUGUCCAGGAUGUUUCCUGUGUGAUGUGAUGAAACAUCUUCCUGGUUUUACACUCAGGCUUCUGAAAGAGAACUGAUUUACCUGCAGGAACUUUCUACACAGGUAGGACUCACAUCGAUGAUGUCUAGUGUUUUCGGUCUGUAAAGAAUUUGGAUUGAAAAUGUAAAUCAGCUCGAAAGCGUCAGUGUCAUCGUCACGUCUUCGUCAGGUUAUCGCACCGCCCCACGUAGAGACAAAAACUAUUCACUUCCUUCAUGUCCACCAUUAGAAGAAUGCAGGCUGCGGCUCCUGUAGGUCAAACAGAAUGAAAGUAAUGUUGAUAAACCAUUAGAAACAUUCCUGUAACCUGAUUUUCUGCUAGAGAACAAUGCUAAUUGUUGACCAUGUCAAUAUAUUUGUCCUCAUGUGGAUGUGUUUUAAAAGGACAUCGUCAUCAUCAGACCCGGACACUUUACUGAGCUCUUUACGGUCCAUAAAACCAAACUAUAUGAGCAUCCCUCUGAAUCCCAGUUAUCCCAGUAUGGAGAGUUAUAGUGGUUCCUUCCACUUCCUGCAGUGUGACCGUCUCGUCUCCAGCUUCACACAGUAAACCUGCAUCACAGAUUCAGCUUCAUCAUUUCACUCACAAACAUCAUCACAUCCUCAUCACAUGAAGUGCAUUAAAACUACACUGUGAUACAGAUCUGUGAGUGCAGAUGAUGCUGCAUUUAGACCUGAAAAUGCACAAACCUUACAUUUCAUAGAAUCAGAUUUGUUCCGUAGAAAAUAUAUUAUUUACUACAGUAGUGCAUCUAAGACCAGAUAUGGUAUAUUAUGGUAUACGCUGCAUUGCAAAAGUAUUCACUCCCUUAAAAUAUCAUGAGAUUUUAAUGAUAAAGUACAUUUUAAUAAAAAAAAAAUCAUUUAUUUGUUUUGGGACAUUUGUUCUGCUAAAAGGAGAAAUGUCCAAAUAUCUGGGUUUAUCUAAGCAGACUGAAGGUUUUUAUUCUAAAAAUUCAUUCUUUCUUCAGUUUUGACAUCCUAACUCCUUCAGGGUGACUUUGGCCUCACUGUUGGCCUCCAUCACAGUCCUUGUCUAGAUAAUGCUUGUGUAUGUGGUGUGGAUGUAGCUUCCACUUCCUCACUACUGACCUCAGUGGGAUGUCCAACCAUUUGGAUAUAAUUUUACACCCUGUUCCAUCCUAUUAACUGAUCUUUUGUUCUUUCUUAGAAAGCUCCUUCAUUUUCACUUCUUUCACUCAGACUGACUGUGUCUUCAAUGGAAACUCAAUAAAAGUGGUUUUUAUUCAGAAAAUUAGAGCUGUUUUAAUAUUUCAGAGGUGAAAGACAAAUUUAGGUAAAAUGUUUUCUGGUUAAAACAAUAUCUUUCACCUGAGCUUUGAGACAUUUUGGCAUCAAUAAUUAAUUGUGACUGAAAAUAGACUGUAAGAGAACACGAGUGCAAGGAAAAUACUGAAAGGAAAAAUAGAUUCAUUUAUUAUGUGUAAUUCUCACAAACCUGACCAAUUCCAUGGGGGUAAAUACUUUUGCAAGACUGUAAAUUUAAAGUUAUUUUUAUUCAAAAAUGAAACAAGGAUUUAUCAUCAUCAUCAUCAUCAUCAUCAUCAUCACAGAUCAGCACAAUAAUUACACCAUGGAUUUAUAGCCUUAACAAUAUGAAAUCAAUAACCACAUUAAGUCUUUAUUAAACAGCCAAAACACUUAAACUGUAAACAUUAUUUUAUCUGCUAAAGAUAUUAAACUGGACUGAAAUCAUCCAGAAAACUCCUUCAGUACAUUAAUGUGUGCUUUUAAAACUCACUCUAGACUCUGAUUAAAGUACAGCAGUGUUUCUUAAUUAUGGUCCUUAAAUAAAUGAAAAGUAAACACAACAUUUAUUAUAAGAAAAGUUCUAACAGUGUUGUAGAGUCUCCAGAUCAGUGAGAAUAAAUAUGAAGGUUUAGUAUUUAUUCAGAGUCUGUAACACAAACCAAAUAAAAGUUCCUGUGUUUGUGUCUUUGUGUGAAAAGUUAACGUGGUGUGAAACGUGAUCUAACACACAACUGCUGUAUCAGUGUUCAGCUCAACACUGAGGAAAAUUCAUCACACCCAACACACUAACUAUUAAAAAUGACUUUCACAAUCAUCCUUCUGUUAGAGAACAGCUGAAGGGGAUUUGAUUAAAUAUCCACUGAACUCUUUCUUCCUGAAUUCUCUUUCUAUAUAUUUACAGCUCCAGUGUGUUGUGUUUGCAGUAAAGGAGUAAACUUACAGCACAAUAGGAGGAGAACAGACCGGAGAAUCCACUUUCCUGCUAAAAUGGUCACCAUGUUUUUAGUCCACAGUAAGCGUUUCUCAGACAAAACAUUUUCCCGUCGUCCUGCACAUCAGAGUCAGAGAAGAAGUUAAUGAACAUUUUCAGAUAAGAGCCAUGAUGAAGGUUUCACGGUUUUCCGACACUGUUAGUUUAGCGUCUUUACGCACAUCCAUUAGCGCAGAAGCUCCUCCUGUCUAAACAUGUUCACUACAGUUUCCCCUCAGAGUUAAACACAUUUUAACUGUUUUCACAUGGAUUUAAUGCUGAUUCUGAUGUGUUAUAAUACAAAUGGACGAAAUGAUUAUAUAUAUAAUUUUUUUCUCUAAACUAAAUAAAAAAUUAAUUUAAUUAAUUUAUAAGUCUGUAAUAUUAUAUCAGUGUUAAAUGUAUAAAUAAGUGUUUUGUAGUUAAAAGAUAAGUGUUUUUCCCUCUAAUUGGUCAACAAUAACAGGUGACAUAAAUCCAGUGGACACAUGCAGUGUGAACUCUACAGUAUAAACACCUUGUGUUAUGUAGAAGAAGGUAAAUGUUCAGAGCCUUCAGUGUCUCACAUUUAGUCAUCAGUCUGCAUCAUAAACUCCAGUUUACAUCAAUCUUUUUAAACUCUUGUGGUUGGAAGUCAUUUGCAUUUAAAAUGAACUGGUUCUGGGUUUUUUCCAUGUAAAUUUAAAUCAGCUGUGAGAAAUGAUCCACAUCAAAGAUGUGAUCUAAAGACUAACGAUGAGAUCAGUUCUGACUGGGAUUGUAACAGGACUCUGUGUGUGUGUGUGUGUGUGUGUGUGUGUGUGUGUGUGUGUGUGUGUGUGUGUGUGUGUGUGUGUGUGUGUGUGUACUAGUUAAUCUGUGUUUUUAUCCUGAGGACUGUGUGUUGUUGUUGUUGUGUCAUGAAAACCUCUAUAUAAAAAUAAUCUACAAGAGCUGUGACCCAGAUCAAUCACCACACAGAUGAAACGAUUAAAAGAACCGGGUUUGAGCUUUUCCUGUAAAGUUCAUUUACACAAAGUCAGAAGUCUUUAUCAGAUCAAUCAACAUUAAUACCAAGACUUUAAAGUGUAACUCAGUUCAUUUGAACAUGUUAGUGAUGAACUGAACAAACAGAUGUUGUGGUUCCACUGAAUUUCUGCUUUUGAUGGGAAUCAGCAGCAUUAAUGUGUCAGUGUGUAGAACAGACCUUUAUCUUUGUACUUUAAAUACAUGUGUGGUGUUUUUUAGGAUUUAUCGAUUGUCAGUAAUUAUUUAUGGAGUCUGUUGUAGGAAGUUCAACACUGGACUGGAUUAGACGUUACAUUAUAUUCAGGUAACGUGUCAUUUUCACUUCAGUCUGUAAUAUAACAUGAACUAUCAGGCUCACGCUUGUAAACAUUUAAUAAAAAACUUUUUACAUAA